rnacentral:rRNA from 1 species
CCUACGGGUGGCAGCAGUGAGGAAUAUUGAUCAAUGGCCGGAAGGCUGAACCAGCCAUGCCGCGUGAAGGUCAGUGCCCUAUGGGCGUUUAACCUCUUUUGUGCGGGAGCAAUAAUGGUCACGUGUGGCCAGACGAGAGUACCGUACGAAUAAGCAUCGGCUAACCCCGUGCCAGCAGCCGCGGUAAUACGGGGGAUGCAAGCGUUAUCCGGAUUUAUUGGGUUUAAAGGGUGCGUAGGCUGUGAGGUAAGUCAGCGGUGAAAUGCCCCCGCGCAACGGGGUGAAGUGCCAUUGAUACUGGCUGGCUGGAAGGCGGAUGCCGUGGGAGGAAUGUGUGGUGUAGCGGUGAAAUGCAUAGAUAUCACACAGAACACCGAUUGCGAAGGCAUCUCACGAAUCCGCGAUUGACGCUGAUGCACGAAAGCGUGGGUAUCAAACAGGAUUAGAUACCCGUGUAGUC